UACGUAGGGUGCAAGCGUUGUCCGGAAUUAUUGGGCGUAAAGAGCUCGUAGGCGGUUUGUUGCGUCGGCUGUGAAAACCUGAGGCUCAACCUCAGGCCUGCAGUCGAUACGAGCAGACUAGAGUGUUGCAGGGGAGACUGGAAUUCCUGGUGUAGCGGUGAAAUGCGCAGAUAUCAGGAGGAACACCAGUGGCGAAGGCGCCGCUCUGGGCCGUGACUGACGCUGAGGAGCGAAAGCGUGGGUAGCAAACAGG
rnacentral:rRNA from 1 species